UGCCAGCCGCCGCGGUAAUACGGAGGGAGCUAGCGUUGUUCGGAAUUACUGGGCGUAAAGCGCGCGUAGGCGGCUUUUUAAGUCAGAGGUGAAAUCCCGGGGCUCAACCCCGGAACUGCCUUUGAAACUGGAAAGCUAGAAUCUUGGAGAGGUCAGUGGAAUUCCGAGUGUAGAGGUGAAAUUCGUAGAUAUUCGGAAGAACACCAGUGGCGAAGGCGACUGACUGGACAAGUAUUGACGCUGAGGUGCGAAAGCGUGGGGAGCAAACAGGAUUAGAUA
rnacentral:rRNA from 1 species